rnacentral:rRNA from 1 species
GACAGAGGGUGCAAACGUUGCUCGGAUUUACUGGGCGUAAAGCGCGUGUAGGCGGAUGGGUAAGUCAGAUGUGAAAUCCCUGGGCUCAACCUAGGAACUGCACCUGAAACUGCCCAUCUGGAGUAGUGGAGAGGAGAGCGGAAUUCCUGGUGUAGAGGUGAAAUUCGUAGAUAUUCGGAAGAACACCAGUGGCGAAGGCGGCUCACUGGCCCGUUACCGACGCUCAGGCGCGACAGCGUGGGGAGCAAACAGG